AUGAGAGAAAUUAAAAGAAAGAAACAGUAUGAUGAGAACCCAAACGACACAAAUAUUGCCACACGGUCUGCAGAGGAAUCAUUUAGAAUCAACUAUUUUACACCAAUAGUCGAUCAAGCAAUUUCCUCACUCACAAGGAGAUUUGAGCAAUAUCAAGGUUACCAGAAAAAUUUUGGUUUCUUAUUUACCUCUGAAACAUUGCGUUCAUUGGAUAAGGAUAGUUUGAAAUCUUCUUGUGUUAAUCUUGAGGCUGCCCUUAUGAAGGAUAAACAAUCUGAUAUUGAUGCCAAUGAUCUAUUUGUUGAGUUGAAGUUCCUUCAAAAUUUCAUGCCAAAAGAAAAUAUCGGACCUGUUGAAAUUCUGAAUUUUUUAAAGCGGCAUGACUGUUUUCCCAAUGCAAGUAUUGCAUAUAGAGUUCUAUUGACCAUUCCUGUGACAGUUGCAUCGGCAGAAAGAAGUUUUUCUAAGUUGAAGCUAUUGAAGUCCUAUAUGCGUACUACUAUGACACAACAAAGACUCAAUGAUUUGACCACAAUAGCACUUGAGAGUGAAGUCUUGGAGAAGAUUGAUUACGAGGAUAUCAUUGAAGAUUUCAUAUCAAAGAAUACUAAAAGAAUGAAGUUUUUCAAAUAA
rnacentral:rRNA from 1 species